UGUAGAAAUGAUGACUUUUUACCGCCCCAGUCUGAAAAUUACAUGACUGAAUGGUACUUAGGUACUUAUA
rnacentral:snoRNA from 1 species